UUCUAGUGUGUCAACUUAGCUAAGAUUGAACUAUGUUUCCUCCUGCUCAAGAGGUGAAGCCUGGUUCCUUCUGUAUCCUGAAGGUUGGUACAGAGCCUGUGGUGCUCUUACAACACACCCAUGUCAUUGUUUACCUCCUGGCCCACCCUUGGUGGUGAAGCAGCAGGACUGCAGCUCCUCCAGCUCACACUCUAUCUCCUCUUCCAGGUUUCCUGAUUCUGAGCCAGAUAAGUGUUUGGCACACCCCUGUCAUCUAAGUUGGAGGCUUAGAGAAGUAAGCAACCGAGGCGAGUUCCAGCUGGUCCUCACAGCUCACCUUCACAGGAUCCAGUUUAUCUUUGCUUUCUUCAUUUGCAUUCCGUCUUCUCUCCCCAAGCACAGGCAUGGAUGUGGAACACAAGCUGGACUAAUUGUAAUAUGGAGUCACCUACAAAGAGAUGUGUGA
rnacentral:lncRNA from 1 species